CCUACGGGUGGCAGCAGUGGGGAAUAUUGCACAAUGGGCGCAAGUCUGAUGCAGCCAUGCCGCGUGUAUGACGAAGGCCUUCGGGUUGUAAAGUACUUUCAGCGGGGAGGACGGGCGUAAAGUUAAUACCUUUGCUCAUUGACGUUACCCGAAGAAGAAGCACCGGCUAACUCCGUGCCAGCAGCCGCGGUAAUACGGAGGGUGCAAGCGUUAAUCGGAUUUACUGGGCGUAAAGCGCACGCAGGCGGUUUGUUAAGUCAGAUGUGAAAUUCCCGGGCCCAACCUUGGAACUGCAUCUGAUACUGGCAGGCUUGAGUCGCGUAGAGGGGGGUAGAAUUCCAGGUGUAGCGGUGAAAUGCGUAGAGAUCUGGAGGAAUACCGGUGGCGAAGGCGGCCCCCUGGACGAAGACUGACGCUGAGGUGCGAAAGCGUGGGGAUCAAACAGGAUUAGAUACCCCAGUAGUC
rnacentral:rRNA from 1 species